UACGUAGGGGGGCAAGCGUUGUCCGGAUUUAUUGGGCGUAAAGAGCGUGUAGGCGGCUUUGCAAGUCCGUUGUGAAAACUCGAGCUCAACCUCGAGACGCCGGUGGAAACUGCAAAGCUAGAGUCCGGAAGAGGAGAGUGGAAUUCCUGGUGUAGCGGUGAAAUGCGCAGAUAUCAGGAAGAACACCCGUGGCGAAGGCGGCUCUCUGGGAAGCGGUACUGACGGCUGAGACGCGAAAGCGUGGGGAGCGAACAGG
rnacentral:rRNA from 1 species